UACAUUUCAAUCAAUUCAUAGAUAUAUCUCAUUGUGAUUCCAAUGUCAUUUCGUAAACAUAUCAAAGUUCAAAUAUUUCAAAGAACACAGACUAUCAAUUUCGCAUAUGUGCACACUAUUUUGUACAGUUUCAUAUCACAAAACCAAAUGACACAAAAAUUGAUUCAUUCAUCUUCUCAAUUAUAUCAAUUGAUUCCACUGGAUCCCACAAUUCAUAAAUCAUGUCGUUCAAAUCAUGUUUCAAUGUAUUUCACACACAUUCCACAAUAAUAACCGAUGCUCUCUGUCACAAACAUACCAACACCUGAAAUUGAUGGAGCAUGGGGAGGCCGGCCAUCUGGUAAAGAAGCAAGGGAUGUUCAAAUCAUGCAAAAUAAAAAAGGAAAUCAUUAAGUACAAAUGGAGAGAGGUUAGGGGAGAUGGGCUUCAUUACUCACCAGAUCCGGUUACUCCUACUUGGAGUCGUCGGAUCGAGCAACGCCAGUGCGCAGUGGCCCGUCGUGGUAGGUGGCCUUCAUGGUGGAACCUUGCUGGAGCAGCUCCCCCCAACGCCCACCACAGCGUAGCCGGCGUCCGCCGGCGUGAUUCGGCGUCACUCCUCGCCGGCCUCGUAGUAUUGCCAUGCCACCAGUCUUGCCUAUGUUCCCCCGUGGUAGGUGACAGUCACAGAAGCCGGAUCCGCUGUUGGAGGUUGAUGGAAAAGCGAGAUCUAUUGGCAGCGGUGACCGGCAUGGAACUCACGAGAGAGAGAGAGAGAGAGAGAGAGAGAGAGAGGAGAGAGCUUGAUGUGGCUAGGAAACAACAGUGGGGGCUUGAUAUUUCUCUGUCGUGGGGGCCAUCUCGUAUUGCAUCUGUAUAGGUCUCGUAUCCUGAAUCAGAGGUGGAAAAAGAAAGUUUG
rnacentral:lncRNA from 1 species